GUCUCCUCAUCUCCUUUGGGUCCUUUGGGAGACUUGGUCACCUCACUGACCUGGUGAGAUGCUAUGGGGCAGACUUGGGUAGAGGGAAGCCACAUUAUCUCGGAAGAGCGAUGCUAACUUGAUGGUCUCAUUGGUCUCUCCCUCUGUAGGAAAGGCAACAUGGGGGCCUGCAGAGUCCCUCUCUCCUUCCCCUGAUGUGACAUGUGCUCCCCACUCUCUGGUGGGCAAGGGCAGCUGGAGCUGAACCUCGCAGCCAGGACUGCUGCUGCUGGGUUGGGUUGGCAUGGCUGAGGUCCCUAGGACUGCCACCUUCCCCUCUGCCCGGCUCUUAGGCAGCCGUGGUGCUAGGACUGCAACAGAAGGGUGAAACUCCUCAAGUAGGAUCCUCGCACUGAUGUCUGGUGACUUGCUUCUAGUUUGGGCCACGGAGCUGCAGGAAUCCCUGCUCAGCUGCUGUUCAGUGGUUAUUGUUUCUUAAUUAGCUAAUAGCAUGGUUUCUCACAUGACUGGUACGUUGCAUUUUCUCAGUUUGCCUGCUGUGCCUCUUGCCCAGAGGAACUGAAGAAGGAAACUUAGUUCUCUUUGUUUAAUUUGAAAUAGAUUCAAAUUCAGUGGUGGUGAACCCGUACCAGGCUGAGGGCAACACUGCAAACCCGUAACUACCCGCGCUCCUGUGAUGUGCUCUCAGCUUACAAACCAUCUCUGGUGGACCUGCCAGGAGAUGCCUCUGCUCUGUCAGCGACCUGCUGUGACAGGGUGUGUGGUGGAGUAGUUGGUGUGUCGUGGUGCUCCUCCUCACAUCUUCUGCCGCGUCGGUCUGCUCCAGCGAGAGGGCAGCUGGACUGGCAGGGGUUGUGGUGGUCAUCCCGUUGGUGGCCCAGAAGCCUGUUUUUCCCGUGUUUGACUCCCUUAGGUCUGUUGUUCAUGCUCAAACGGAGAGUCCCUGUUCGUAUGGAAGUGGAGCCUGAGAUAUAAAGCCCCUUAAAAUAUUUCAGUGUCCUGAUUUGCAUUGCAGCGGUCGUGGCCGUGUCCAAACCUUGCGUAGGUGUUUCCAGCGAGAGCGGUGGGAGAUGAGUGAGGCCAUCCCUACCCAGGGGUGUGUAGAGGAGGGCAGCCUCACCCUGGGGGCAGGGGGGCAAUCCAAAAUAAACCAGUGCUGUUACUUAAGCAAGUGGUUCUUUAUGAAAAGAAACGGAGUUUACUUGGUAAAUCGUCCUUUCAGAGGUGAAGGAGAAACGCAGAGAGACAUUUUGAAGUGAUGGCAGUCCCCUGGGAGGGCUCUGCCUUCCUCAGCUGGGCUGGGGGGAGAGGGACAUGGCUGGGUGGCCAGUGUCCUGCCACUGCACCAUCCAACCACCCGCUUCCCAACCUGGUGGGGAGGGUGAAGCUGCGAGUAAUUAAAUUCUUGUUCUGUAGUUCACCCAAAUCCUUAGGGGAAGCAAGAAUUCGGUCUUGUUGAUCUGCUCUGCUCCCUGCUCUGCUCUUUCCUUUCCCUUUUUCUCUGUCUUUGCUGGCAGGAGAAAUAAGAUAAAGGGGGGAGGUGGCACGCUGCAGCUAGCAAACGUUAUCUCCUGAAAUAAAACAUCGUCCCCUUUGGCAGCAAAGGCGCUCUCUCGGGGGGGAAAAGGAGCCUGAAUUCCUGGAGGCAGGGAUUUUAAAGGCUCCCAGUGCUGCGUCCCCCUGUUCUCUCCCUCCCAGAGAUUUCUGAGAAGUCAGGAGUGUGGAUUCCUCCCGAGAGUGAGCGCUAAAGCCGAGAUGGCUCCGUGUCUACGAGAACAUCUGGCCAAUAAAGGGAGACCUAACGAAGCCGAGCAGAUGGUGAGAGAAAAUAGCCCCGUCGCUCCUUGUGAGCAGCCUGUGCAACGGGAGCGAGGAGAGUCCUGGGGUGGUUUCAUUUCGUGAGCUUGGAAAGGCUCCUGGAGGGAGAACAGCAGGGUGACAAUCCAGAAGUCUUGGAGAUCAGAGUUAAAAGGAGCUGUGGGUCUUUUUUUUUAUCCAGCGCUUUAGUUGUUGGGAUGUAGCUGGAUGGAAAGUGGAAGCUGAGACAGGUCUGGAGUCCGGCUGUCGCGAAGCAGCGCUGGGUUUUGGAUGUUGAGCUCUCCCUGUCCUUGCAGUUUGGUUCACUGGAGGCUUGUCAGAAGUUCUAGUUGCAGUAGGCUCCAAGGUUGGUGUGGAAGCCACUUUGGUGGAAACCAUUGCAGAUGGUCCUGCUUAAGGGGGGGAGAUGUCACAGUGUGACCACUGAAUUUUGGAAACUCCCUUUGAACUCGCUGCUCUGUGCUGGUUUUCAUCCUUCCUGCUCUUCCAGGGAUUUUCGGGGUGCAGGGUGGGGAGGUUAGGAUUUUCAGCAUCUGGAGUUCCCUGCAUGGCUUUGGGACAGUGUCACCAGAAGCGCCAGGUCCCCAUGCCUGGGGAAGGCAAUGCCAUGUGCCAUGGGGUGAGCACCCCUGAUGGGGCAGCGGGGGCACAUUUGGGCUUCACAGGCUCGACGAGCAGGAGUGGGAGCUGCUCCAUCAACGGGAACUGGUGCUGCCCCACCACCUUCUAAAAGAAAUGCAUUUGCAGCGCUCGUGGCUGCGGCCUCUAUAUAUCCAAUAAGCUCCUACCUCUCAAAUCCAGGCGCCUUCCCAAAAUCAGCUGUUGCUCAUCCUACACCUUUCCCUGCCCGGCUCCCAGCCCCCCUUCUUCUGUCGGUGUCUUUGCUGUUUGUCCAAAGCCAAUGGUAUGAUACACAGGGCGUGGGAGGAUGACCGGCGGUGGGAAAGGUCUCCAAGAAAAGUUUCUUGUGGAGCAGGGUUGGAUCCUCCUGCUCUUAUUUCCCUGAUUGAUAACUUCUUGUGCUGCUUGUUCUGCUUCCUCGCCGCCGCUCGGCCACCGGAGCUGUGUGGGAGGCAGGGAGGGAAAAGUAGGGUCCUGGGUCAGGAGAUAACGAUCCCUGGGGAUUUUAUUGUGGAUCUUUCAAGGAGCAAGGGGGACCAGCACAAAGCCUUCAAGCUUUGGUGACGUUUUGAACAGCUGAGCCAAUUUGGCCUUAUCCUGCAAGGAUGCUGCUGCGUACUGCCUGCUGUGACCCGGUGUGUGCCCCAGGCUUUUUUGGGGGUUAUUUGUGACCCCGAUACCGGGCCAUCAUGCUGGGACGUGCCCUGGGACAGGGGCAUGGCUUGGCUCCCGUUGGGAACACAAAAGCCAUCUCUGGCCCCAUGUCCUCCCUCCUCUCCUUCACCGUUCUGCUUUGCACUCGCAAGGGGAAGAUGAUCUUCUGCCUUAAGCAUUUUUUUCUUUUUUUUAUUUACAUUUUUAUUCCAAAAGGUGAUCGGGUUGGUUUAUCUCCUUGGAAAAGAGGGGCUGGGGCUCCUGGGGAAGAGUGGAAGAUCCCUUUGGUAACCGCAGCAGUCACAGUUGGGCUCAGUGGCUGUCACCUCAUUAACCCUUGCCUCCCUUACAUGAUGCCAUCCCAAAUACCACACUGUGGGACAAGCUGUUGACUUGCCACCGCCAUGGGGGCUCCACUCUCUGCUGCAGCAUCCUGGCUGCAGAAGAAAUGCAGGUUUUGCAGGGGGGGGAGGAGAAGGAAAGGGCUGGUAAUACUGCAUGAAGCUGGGUGCUGAUGCCCCAUCCCUGCUCCCAGUGGGAGUCAAAGGCUGCUUUGGCUCUGGCACAGCCGUGCCAUGGGGGGCGAGAGACACUGACCCUGCCUGAGCAGACACCCCAUGGCCUUGACAGUCCCUCAAGCUUUAGAAACCAAAUUACAGACUCUUUGCUCCAGAGGAGAAAUUGGGCAGCCUGGUAGAACUUGUGAUGACCUCUCCGUCCCAUAGGUCCUGGUGAAGGAUUGGCAUUUGGAAGGGGCCUGGGGUGGAAAUGCUGAAGUUUCCCCCCAGGUCCCGCUGCCGCCUUCCUCUCCCCUCCCCGCUGUGUUGGUCGAAAUGAUCUUUCUAUGAAGCCCUGUAGAUGUCAAAAGUAAUUAUGGAGUGUGAUUAGUCCUCUGUGGGUGCUUUCUUUCUUUCCUCCUCCUUUCUCUUUUGCUAUCCCCUUCUCCACUCUUCUUUUUUGGCUAAGUGGAAAAGGUGAGGACAAAGAAUUGCCGCUUGCUUGGACUCAUGAUGUAUCUGUGACUGCGCUAUUAGCUGUCUCCUCUUUCCUCCCCAAAUGGAUAUAAUUUUUGAAGUGUGGAAUACCCUUCUUGAUAAGUAGGUUUUAAAAAAAAAAAAUGCACAAUGUGAUACUGUUUCAUAGUUUCUAGGUGGUUGUAUAAAGCAAAGUUACUGUGAUUGUGUUUUUCAAAGGAAAAAGUGAUUGGUUACAAGAUCUGUCCUUUUUUCAUUAUUACAAGCUCUUUGUUUUCCAAUGA